GGUGGGGGCGCGGAAGGGGUUGUAUUUUCAGCAAAGUAGUGUUGAAGGGAUGUUUGUAGUUUGUCGACUAUGUUGGAGUCGUUGAGCAGUAGGUCAUUGAGUUUCCAUUGAAAUGAUCUCUGCGGGAGUGUAGGGAUUUGUACGGCAAGAGCCAGGGGUCCGUGGUCUAACCAUGUAAUCGGGCCAUAAACAAUGUAUUGUACCAGGUGGAGGAAUCUGUGCAGUAGGAAGAACAUGUCUAGCCUGGAGUAGGUUUGCGUGGCUGGUGAGAAGGAGUAAUCCCUGUCAUAUGGGUGAGUAGUGCGCCAGCAGUCG